rnacentral:rRNA from 1 species
GACGUAGGGCGCAAGCGUUGUCCGGAUUUAUUGGGCGUAAAGAGCUCGUAGGCGGCUUGUCGCGUCGACUGUGAAAACCCGCGGCUUAACUGUGGGACUGCAGUCGAUACGGGCUAGCUAGAGUUCGGUAGGGGAGACUGGAAUUCCUGGUGUAGCGGUGAAAUGCGCAGAUAUCAGGAGGAACACCGGUGGCGAAGGCGGCUCUCUGGACCACAACUGACGCUGAGGCGCGAAAGCCAGGGGAGCAAACAGG